UUUAACAUAAAUUUAUAAUGUGUAGUCAUAGUUGCCUUGCUACAUGUUUUAGCCGCAUUGCAUCUCUAAGAUGCAUUAGUCUUUUUCUGCGUCUGUUCUUGCAUUGGUUUCAUAAUUCUAUCAACUCCAGUUAAAUGUUGUGCAAUCACAUAUCAGGAUUAUGAAGUCUUUGCAUGGUAGUAUGGUACAAGUGCAUAAAACAAGGAUUCUAUGUAUUUUGUGUUUAUUUGCUUCUUUAAUUGGAGAAUUGUAUCUACAGAUGUGCAAUAUAACAAUUUGUGGUAAGCCAGUGUCAGUAUGGCAUAAUAUGCCUAACAUUGCAUCUUAAUUUGUCCUAUAUUAUGGGAUGAUUUUCCUUAAUUAAUAAUUUAUGUUGCAGAUAUUGACGGUGCUUGA
rnacentral:misc_RNA from 1 species